UUCCGGUUGAUCCUGCCGGACCCGACUGCUAUCAGAGUGGGACUAAGCCAUGCGAGUCGACGUAGCAAUGCGUGGCGAACGGCUCAGUAACACGUAGUCAACAUGCCCAGGGGACGUGGAUAACCUCGGGAAACUGAGAAUAAACCACGAUAGGUCACGAUUUCUGGAAUGGAUCAUGGCCUAAAUCUACAUGGCCCCUGGAUUGGACUGCGGCCGAUCAGGCUGUUGGUGAGGUAAUGGCCCACCAAACCUAUAACCGGUACGGGCUCUGAGAGGAGAAGCCCGGAGAUGGGCACUGAGACAAGGGCCCAGGCCCUAUGGGGCGCAGCAGGCGCGAAACCUCUGCAAUAGGCGAAGGCCUGACAGGGUUACUCUGAGUGAUUUCCGCUAAGGGGAUCUUUUGGCACCUCUAAAAAUGGUGCAGAAUAAGGGGUGGGCAAGUCUGGUGUCAGCCGCCGCGGUAAUACCAGCACCCCGAGUGGUCGGGACGAUUAUUGGGCCUAAAGCAUCCGUAGCCGGUUCUGCAAGUCUUCCGUUAAAUCCAGCCGCUCAACGGAUGGGCCGCGGAGGAUACUACAGGACUAGGAGGCGGGAGAGGCAAGCGGUACUCAGUGGGUAGGGGUAAAAUCCUUUGAUCCAUUGAAGACCACCAGUGGCGAAGGCGGCUUGCCAGAACGCGCUCGACGGUGAGGGAUGAAAGCUGGGGGAGCAAACCGGAUUAGAUACCCGGGUAGUCCCAGCUGUAAACGAUGCAGACUCGGUGAUGGGCUAGCCUUGUGCCAGCCCAGUGCCGCAGGGAAGCCGUUAAGUCUGCCGCCUGGGGAGUACGGUCGCAAGACUGAAACUUAAAAGGAUUGGCGGGGGAGCA
rnacentral:rRNA from 1 species